rfam:Anopheles culicifacies strain species A-37_1 cont1.409, whole genome shotgun sequence.
AGCAACAAUAAACUGGUAAGGUAUGAAUCCGAAACCUCUGGAAGAUCAACAAAGGCUCUCCAUACCCUACUUCGACUCAAUAUGUCCCCGGCGAAUGGAACGGCAACAUGUCUCGCCAAAUAUCUGAGCUUGGGUAUACGGGGAAACACAACCCCUUGGGAGGAUGGGUGAUAUGGCUAAAUUGAGCGGA